rnacentral:rRNA from 1 species
CCUACGGGUGACAGCAGUGAGGAAUAUUGGUCAAUGGGCGCGAGCCUGAACCAGCCAAGUAGCGUGAAGGAUGACUGCCCUACGGGUUGUAAACUUCUUUUAUAAAGGAAUAGAGUGAGGCACGUGUGCCUUCUUGUAUGUACUUUAUGAAUAAGGAUCGGCUAACUCCGCGCCAGCAGCCGCGGUAAUACGGAGGAUCCGAGCGUUACCCGGAUUUAUUGGGUUUAAAGGGAGCGUAGAUGGGUUGUUAAGUCAGUUGUGAAAGUUUGCGGCUCAACCGUAAAAUUGCAAUUGAUACUGGCAGGCUUGAGUACAGUUGAGGUAGGCGGAAUGCGUGGUGUAGCGGUGAAAUGCUUAGAGAUCACGCAGAACUCCGAUUGCGAAGGCAGCAUACCGGCGCCCGACUGACGCUGAGGCGCGAAAGCGUGGGGAUCGAACAGGAUUAGAUACCCGGGUAGUC